AUUGGACCUAGCACUGAAAG
rnacentral:misc_RNA from 1 species